GCGCCGGUGGUGUAAGGCGAACAUCGCUGCCCGGAAAGAAGAAGAUGCGGGUUCGAGUCCCGCCUGGCGCA
rfam:Heligmosomoides polygyrus genome assembly, scaffold: HPBE_scaffold0006234